CUGCCGGAUGCCAGGUGGACUUUUCAAAAUUUAAUUAAAGCAAUCAAUUAUAAAGUUAGCUCCUCACACACAUGCCUACUUAGUGUUCGAUGACUUUGCAUGCUCGAUAAAUUUCACACGCAGCCAGCCGGUGGGCGAAUUCCAUGGGUGCGCGGGGUCAGAGGUCGCAGGAUUCUGGCUUUGUGCGGCUGGCAUCGAGAACAGGACCUCCAGCGAACGUAAAGGAAGCUGUCUGCUGCUGGCGGAAGCCCAGCAACUGCCUGCAAUUAGUUGCAACAUAAAUUUGGCCCGCCCAAGUGGACAGUGGAGGCACUGUGGGUCGACCGGAAGUUGUGGCUGUGGUUGUCGUCGGAGUGGAAAAUACAGCUGAUUCUCAAGUUUCCCAGCAGAUUUGCGGCACUUGCAGAAAAAUCAAUUCAAUUGGCUUUGAAGUUGAUGUAUGAGCCAAUUAACUUCUACUAAACUAACUAUUUUCUAUGCCAUUUAAUAAUAAUGUGUAAAC
ensembl:ncRNA lncRNA:CR43792 long non-coding RNA:CR43792